ensembl:lncRNA
GUAGCCUAGUGGUUAGAGUGUAGAUGUGGCAGGUAGCCUAGUGGUUAGAGUGUAGAGGUGGCAGGUAGCCUAGUGGUUAGAGUGUAGAGGAGGCAGGUAGCCUAGUGGUUAGAGUGUAGAGGCGGCAGGUAGCCUAGUGGUUAGAGUGUAGAGGAGGCAGGUAGCCUAGUGGUUAGAGUGUAGAGGAGGCAGGUAGCCUAGUGGUUAGAGGGUAGAGGAGGCAGGUAGCCUAGUGGUUAGAGUGUAGAGGAGGCAGGUAGCCUAGUGGUUAGAGUGUAGAGGAGGCAGGUAGCCUAGUGGUUAGAGUGUAGAGGAGGUAGGUAGCCUAGUGGUUAGAGUGUAGAGGUGGCAGGUAGCCUAGUGGUUAGAGUGUAGAGGAGGCAGGUAGCCUAGUGGUUAGAGUGUAGAUGCAGGUAGCCUAGUGGUUAGAGUGUAGAGGAGGCAGGUAGCCUAGUGGUUAGAGGGUAGAGGAGGUAGGUAGCCUAGUGGUUAGAGGGUAGAGGUAGGUAGCCUAGUGGUUAGAGGGUAGAGGAGGUAGCCUAGUGGUUAGAGGGUAGAGGUAGGUAGCCUAGUGGUUAGAGGGUAGAGGAGGCAGGUAGCCUAGUGGUUAGAGUGUAGAGGAGGCAGGUAGCCUAGUGGUUAGAGUGUAGAGGAGGCAGGUAGCCUUGUGGUUAGAGGGUAGAGGAGGCAGGUAGCCUAGUGGUUAGAGUGUAGAGGGGGUAGGUAGCCUAGUGGUUAGAGUGUAGAGGAGGCAGGUAGCCUAGUGGUUAGAGUGUAGAAGGGGUAGGUAGCCUAGUGGUUAGAGUGUAGAGG